rnacentral:rRNA from 1 species
UACGAAGGGGGCUAGCGUUGCUCGGAAUCACUGGGCGUAAAGGGUGCGUAGGCGGGUCUUUAAGUCAGGGGUGAAAUCCUGGAGCUCAACUCCAGAACUGCCUUUGAUACUGAGGAUCUUGAGUACGGGAGAGGUGAGUGGAACUGCGAGUGUAGAGGUGAAAUUCGUAGAUAUUCGCAAGAACACCAGUGGCGAAGGCGCUCACUGGCCCGUUACUGACGCUGAGGCACGAAAGCGUGGGGAGCAAACAGG